rnacentral:rRNA from 1 species
CACAAACUCCUGCGUUAUAGUGGCAUGUCUUCAAAAAAAGAACAUCAAACGAGUCAAAACUUUCAACAACGGAUCUCUUGGUUCUGGCAUCGAUGAAGAACGCAGCGAAAAUGCGAUAAGUAAUGUGAAUUGCAGAAUUCAGUGAAUCAUCGAAUCUUUGAACGCACAAUGCGCCCGCUAGUAUUGUGGUGGGCAUGCCUGUUCGAGAGUCAUUUCAAUCCUCAAGCUCCUGGCUUGGUGUUGGGGUUUUACGGCUCCUGUAGGCUCCAAAGACUAGUGGCGGGCUCGCUAUAAUCUCCGAGCGCAGUACAUGUAUCUCGCUUUGNAAGUGUGGUGGGUACCAGCCGCAAAACGCCCCAACUCACAUGACAAGGUUGACCUCGUAUCAGGUAGGAAUACCCGCUGAACUUAAGCACUUCAAUAAGCGGAGGA